AUUGAACGCUGGCGGCAUGCCUUACACAUGCAAGUCGAACGGCAGCACGGGUGCUUGCACCUGGUGGCGAGUGGCGAACGGGUGAGUAAUACAUCGGAACAUGUCCUGUAGUGGGGGAUAGCCCGGCGAAAGCCGGAUUAAUACCGCAUACGAUCUACGGAUGAAAGCGGGGGACCUUCGGGCCUCGCGCUAUAGGGUUGGCCGAUGGCUGAUUAGCUAGUUGGUGGGGUAAAGGCCUACCAAGGCGACGAUCAGUAGCUGGUCUGAGAGGACGACCAGCCACACUGGGACUGAGACACGGCCCAGACUCCUACGGGAGGCAGCAGUGGGGAAUUUUGGACAAUGGGCGAAAGCCUGAUCCAGCAAUGCCGCGUGUGUGAAGAAGGCCUUCGGGUUGUAAAGCACUUUUUCCGGAAAGAAAUCCUUGGCCCUAAUACGGUCGGGGGAUGACGGUACCGGAAGAAUAAGCACCGGCUAACUACGUG
rnacentral:rRNA from 1 species